rnacentral:tRNA from 1 species
ACCUUCGUGGUGUAGUGGUCAGCACGCUCGGCGCGUAUUCGAGAGGUCCGUGGUUCGAGUCCAUGCGAAGGUA